rnacentral:rRNA from 1 species
UACGUAGGUGGCAAGCGUUGUCCGGAAUUAUUGGGCGUAAGGCGCGUGUAGGCGGCUUUGCAAGUCGGGGGUGAAAGCCCUCAGCUUAACUGAGGAAGUGCGCCCGAAACUGCAUGGCUUGAGUACCGGAGAGGAUGGCGGAAUUCCCCAAGUAGAGGUGAAAUUCGUAGAUAUGGGGAGGAACACCGGUGGCGAAGGCGGCCAUCUGGACGGAUACUGACGCUGAGACGCGAAAGCGUGGGUAGCAAACAGG